rnacentral:rRNA from 1 species
AUACGUAGGGGGCGAGCGUUGUCCGGAAUGAUUGGGCGUAAAGGGCGCGUAGGCGGCCCGGUAAGUCUGGAGUGAAAGUCCUGUUUUUAAGAUGGGAAUUGCUUUGGAUACUGUCGGGCUUGAGUGCAGGAGAGGUAAGUGGAAUUCCCAGUGUAGCGGUGAAAUGCGUAGAGAUUGGGAGGAACACCAGUGGCGAAGGCGACUUACUGGACUGUAACUGACGCUGAGGCGCGAAAGUGUGGGGAGCAAACAGGAUUAGAUACCCUGGUAGUCCACACGGUAAACGAUGAAUGCUAGGUGUAGGGGGUAUCGACCCCUUCUGUGCCGCAGUCAACACAAUAAGCAUUCCGCCUGGGGAGUACGGCCGCAAGGUUGAAACUCAAAGGAAUUGGCGGGG